CGCUCCUAGAGCUGGCCGAGCGGCAGGUCACCAUCCACUCGCAGACGCUGCUGAGCUGGGAACACGCGCUGAAGCUAGCCACCGAGCCAGACUCGGGGGAACUCUUCAAGACUGUGUCCAAGGCGGCGGUGCAGAAUCUUUCGCCUUCCAAGUACGCCGCGACGCCGGAGUCGGAGCGCGAGUUCGACGAUAUCGACAGUAACGACAGCUCCGACUUGUCGAAGGUGGACCACGAUUUUGAGGUGAGCAACAAAGACAGCACGAAGACAGACUCCCACGAAGCGAGCUCGGACCCGCUCAAAGAAUUCUCCGAAGUAGACCUCUCCUCAUGAUUCUACGACACACUAUUCUUCAACAUAUUGAAGGAAUUCUAACGUAUUUUGAAUCUUAUUGACUGGUAUUAAGCACCAAGUAUGGGAAACUAUUCGUCUAUUCGCGUUUCCAACAUAUUAAGGAAAUCCUGAAGUAUACGUGGACGUAUUUUGGAUCUUAUUUG